UACAGAGGGUGCAAGCGUUGUUCGGAAUUAUUGGGCGUAAAGGGAGUGUAGGCGGUGAGUUAAGUCUUCUGUGAAAGCUGCGGGCUUAGCCUGCAAAGUGCAGAGGAAACUGGCUGACUUGAGUGUCGGAGAGGAUAGGGGAAUACCCAGUGUAGAGGUGAAAUUCGUAGAGAUUGGGUGGAACACCAGUGGCGAAGGCGCCUGUCUGGCUGACAACUGACGCUGAGACUCGAAAGCAUGGGGAGCAAACAGG
rnacentral:rRNA from 1 species